UACGGAAGGGGCGAGCGUUGUUCGGAAUCAUUGGGCGUAAAGGGCGCGUAGGUGGUGCUGUAUGUCUCCCGUGAAAGCCCACGGCUCAACCGUGGCGUGUCGGGAGAAACUGCAGGACUUGAGGCUGGGAGGGGCUGGUGGAAUUCCCUGUGUAGCGGUGAAAUGCGUAGAGAUGGGGGAGAACACUCGUGGCGAAGGCGGCCAGCUAGACCAGUUCUGACACUGAGGCGCGACAGCGUGGGGAGCAAACAGG
rnacentral:rRNA from 1 species